UACGAAGGCAGCAGUGGGGAAUAUUGCACAAUGGGCGCAAGCCUGAUGCAGCCAUGCCGCGUGUAUGAAGAAGGCCUUCGGGUUGUAAAGUACUUUCAGUCGUGAGGAAGGUGUUAAGGUUAAUAACCUUAGCAAUUGACGUUAGCGACAGAAGAAGCACCGGCUAACUCCGUGCCAGCAGCCGCGGUAAUACGGAGGGUGCGAGCGUUAAUCGGAAUUACUGGGCGUAAAGGGCACGCAGGCGGUUAAUUAAGUUGGAUGUGAAAUCCCCGGGCUUAACCUGGGAAUGGCAUUCAAGACUGGUUAGCUAGAGUCUUGUAGAGGGGGUAGAAUUCCAUGUGUAGCGGUGAAAUGCGUAGAGAUGUGGAGGAAUACCGGGUGGCGAAGGCGGCCCCUGGGCAAAGACUGACGCUCAUGUGCGAAAGCGUGGGGAGCAAACAGGGAUUAGAUACC
rnacentral:rRNA from 1 species